AAUUUCUUUUCCACUAUCAAAGCAUUAUUUCAUUGAGUAAUUUCAUCAAACACUUCUGUACAUACAGAAUGCGAUAAUGGCUCCUCAUUGGAACGUCAACGCCCACUCUAUAAUCUACAUAACUAGAGAAAACAGCCAAUUAUAGGUGGUGGGUCACACCGUGAAUCUGGUUUUCGAUGGCGAGGUCAAAGAAAAGCAUUUGAUUAUAAUCCCACAGAACUUCGUCGUGAUAAAGAAGGCCGGAGAUCAAGGCUGCGAGUGGAUAGCUUUUAAAACUAAUGACAAUGCAAUGAUCAGCCCACUUGAGGGAAGGCUAUCGACAUUUCGGUCGAUGCCAGUAGAUGUGUUGACGAAUGCAUAUCGAGUUUCGAAGCAAGAAGCCCAGUUUUUUAAGUUCAGUUGGGAUGAAUCCACACUUUUUAGUUCCAGUUCUUUCAGUUUUUCGAAG
rnacentral:lncRNA from 1 species